UUGUUUUCCUGAAAAUAUUUAUACCAUAGUUGGGAAAUAUUAAAAUUCUGUGUGGGAUAGAGUACAAUAUUCUUUAUGGAUCGGAACGAUUGGGAUAAGUCCAAUAUUCGUUGCAGAAUAUUAUACUUUUUCAAUAUCAUAAUCUAAAUAAUAAAAGCCACCUUUGUGUAUGUAUAAGCGAUCCACAACUAAGUCAAACGCACAUGGUUCUGAAAUGGUACUUUGGUACUUUUAACUAAAGUUUGUUUCUCUACUUUUAACUUUGAGUUACGACAUUUCGAAAUUUUUCAAUAACUGUAACUUAAAUAAUUUUGGUUUAAAUACCGUAUUAUUGAAGUAUCUAUUCUAAAAAAAAAUGGUGAAGUUGGAUUUCCUUAUAAUAAGAUUUGAUCGUACAUCGUUAUUAGGUUUCGAAUAAAUAAGGGGAUUCAAUUAAAAUGUUUAUCCUGAUGAAUAAUCUAAAGAGUUAUUGACUUAGGUAUAUGAUGUAUAGAAUGAAGGUUAACCAAAAACAAUUGAAAACUGUCUUAGUGUAGUUUUAUUUUUACAGGGUUAGCAAAAAAUUACAAACAUGCAUUGAUGAAAAGCUUGAAAAUGUAAAACAAGAUUUCAUAACCGCUCAAGACGAUUCAUUCUUUCUGUGUACAAAAAAUUGAAACUGUUGAGAAAAAUAUUUUUAGUAAAAUAAUUGAAGAAUUGUCAAACGACGGUACACAUUCAACGCACCAUCAGAAUAAACCGGAAUCCUUAAAAAAUUAAGAACCGGAACCUUUAUUUUAAUAAAUAAAGUACCGGAACCGUAAAGCAGUUUUUAAAUUAAAUAGGUUAUUUUAGG